CGCAGGCACGGAGGCGAGGCCGCAGCAGCUCUCCUGUCGCUGUGACAGAGAGCAGUGACAUAGAGGUGGAAGAAGGCCCCACAGCUGUACGGGGGAAAUUCCACACAGUCAUCGACUUUCCACCUGAAAGACCAAGUCCACCCAGCAAGAUAAAGGAAUCACCAGCUGGCUGUUGGUGUUCCUGCUUCAGCCUGGGGAAACCAUCGUCUGGGGCCAAACGCCAGCCACAGCACCAUCCCAGGGAGCCCUCAGAAAUAGAAAUCGUAGUGCUGGCAGAUGAACUGAGCCCUUGUCCACCCAGAAGAGCUGGAGAAAGUAGCGAAGCUGGGCUGUGUGCUUCCACCAAUGGAGAGCUCUUGGGAAGCACAAAUGGCUGCGGAUCACGUGACAGCCUUGCACGUAACAACAGUGAUGGAGAGAGGGAGCUCAUCCAAGUUGAAGCCCUCAUUUCUCCCGGCUGUGCUGAAGAUGCUGACCUGUGCCCACCAGGCACCGCAGUCACCAGCCUGGACUGUGACCCGGCACCUUUGCAGUGCAGCCCAGCCCAAGUACAGUCCGAGUGCCCCGACAGCAACACCUCUGUGCAGGAGCAGGUCAGCAUCACCGAGG